UGUGUGUGUGUGUGUGUGUGUGUGUGUGUGUGUUUGCUGGCGCACGCAUGCACACACACACACACACACACACACACACACACA
rnacentral:miRNA from 1 species